GACGAACGCUGGCGGCGUGCCUAAUACAUGCAAGUAGAACGCUGAAGGAGGAGCUUGCUUCUCUGGAUGAGUUGCGAACGGGUGAGUAACGCGUAGGUGACCUGCCUGGUAGCGGGGGAUAACUAUUGGAAACGAUAGCUAAUACCGCAUAAGAGUAGAUGUCGCAUGACAUUUGCUUAAAAGGUGCAAUUGCAUCACUACCAGAUGGACCUGCGUUGUAUUAGCUAGUUGGUGAGGUAACGGCUCACCAAGGCAACGAUACAUAGCCGACCUGAGAGGGUGAUCGGCCACACUGGGACUGGGACACGGCCCAGACUCCUACGGGAGGCAGCAGUAGGGAAUCUUCGGCAAUGGACGGAAGUCUGACCGAGCAACGCCGCGUGAGUGAAGAAGGUUUUCGGAUCGUAAAGCUCUGUUGUAGGAGAAGAACGAGUGUGAGAGUGGAAAGUUCACACUGUGACGGUAUCUUACCAGAAAGGUACGGCUAACUCCGUG
rnacentral:rRNA from 1 species